rnacentral:rRNA from 1 species
GAUGAACGCUGGCGGCGUGCCUAAUACAUGCAAGUCGAGCGAACAGACGAGGAGCUUGCUCCUCUGACGUUAGCGGCGGACGGGUGAGUAACACGUGGAUAACCUACCUAUAAGACUGGGAUAACUUCGGGAAACCGGAUCUAAUACCGUAUAACAUGCUGAACCGCAUGGUUCAACAGUGAAAUACGGUUUUGCUGUCACUUAUAGAUGGAUCCGCGUCGCAUUAGCUAGUUGGUAAGGUAACGGGUUACCAAGGCAACGAUGCGUAGCCGACCUGAGAGGGUGAUAGGCCACACUGGAGCUGAGACACGGUCCAGACUCCUACGGGAGGCAGCAGUAGGGAAUCUUCCGCAAUGGGCGAGAGCAUGACGGAGCAACGCCGCGUGAGUGAAGAAGGUCUUCGGAUCGUAAAACUCUGUUAUUAGGGAAGAACAAAUGUGUAAGUAGCUAUGCACGUCUUGACGGUACCUAAUCAGAAAGCCACGGCUAACUACGUG